GUUCCAGGCGCUUAGAUGUACACAGGCCCUCAUAGAAGUUGUGACCCCUAGCCCUCCUCUUCCAAUUGACCCCCCCCCCCCCUGAUCUUGACCUCAAGGAUGCAUCCUAGAAACAAGGUGCGGAGCUGUACACAGUCCUUCCUACAACUUGUAGAAGAUCUCCCAUAGGCUUCACAACCAGUCAUGUGACCCCUAGCCCUCUUCCAACUGAUUGCCCCCUUGAUCUUGACCUCAAGAUGCCACCUGGAAACAAAGUGCGGAGCUGUACACAGUCCUUCCUACAACUUGUAGAAGAUCUCCCAUAGGCUUCACAACCAGUCAUGUGACCCCUAGCCCUCUUCCAACUGAUUGCCCCCUUGAUCUUGACCUCAAGAUGCCACCUGGAAACAAAGUGCGGAGCUGUACACAGUCCUUCCUACAACUUGUAGAAGAUCUCCCAUAGGCUUCACAACCAGUCAUGUGACCCCUAGCCCUCUUCCAACUGAUUGCCCCCUUGAUCUUGACCUCAAGAUGCCACCUGGAAACAAAGUAAGUUGUGAUUUCAUUUAUUUUAUGUACAUGGAAAUUAUAAAGUGCUUUCUCAAAGUAAAUUCAAAUUAAACUCAUUUUGAAUCACAUUUUAUUGUUUAUUCUCGGAAAAAAACAAGAUCCUGUUCAUUAAAGUUACCAUUUAUUCAGUAAUUAUCUCCUCAAUGAAUGCUAACCACCAUGGUAACAUUAUGGACUUCACGAUAGCAUGUUGUUUUGUGAAUGUUGACAUGACAUGGGCGGAGCGAGGGACUGCACAACGGCUCAGCUGUCGACUUCCCUAGAGGGCAACAUGGAUUUCCCCAAAUGGUGUCGUUCUCGAGGGUAGUAGAUGGCUGAGCUGUUUUCAUGCAUCGCAGCAUCUCACUCCACCUGAGUGACAUUAUUAAAUAGAAA